AUCGCUUCUCGGCCUUUUGGCUAAGAUCAAGUGUAGUAUCUAUCUAUCUAUCUAUCUAUCUAUCUACACAUA
rnacentral:snRNA from 1 species